rnacentral:rRNA from 1 species
AUUGAACGCUGGCGGCAGGCCUAACACAUGCAAGUCGAACGAGUGGCGGACGGGUGAGUAAUGUCUGGGAAACUGCCUGAUGGAGGGGGAUAACUACUGGAAACGGUAGCUAAUACCGCAUACCAUCGGAUGUGCCCAGAUGGGCUUAGCUAGUAGGUGGGGUAAAGGCUCACCGAGGAGACUAACCCUGACUGGUCUGAGAGGAUGACAAGCCACAAUGGAACUGAGACACGGUCCAGAGUCCUACGGUAGGCAGCAGUGGGGAAUAUUGCACAAUGGGCGCAAGCCUGAUGCAGCCAUGCCGAGUGUAUGAAGAAGGCCUUCGGGUUGUAAAGUACUUUCAGCUGAGAGGCGUGACCCGCAGAAGAAGCACCGGCUAACUCCGUGCCAGCAGCCGCGGUAAUAC